CAGUCUUUAACUAGUCACACUUUGAAGUCAAGGGAAUGGAAAAUUCUUAUUACAUCUUAAAGGCAAGGAAGAAAAAUGUCGAGCUCUUUUGAGAUCCUGCUGUUGAUGCUGAAGUUCUUGAAGGUGUAAACUCCAUCUGUAAUCACAAGUGCUGUGGGCUCCCUGCUCUGCCCUGGGCUUCCAUACUGCUAACAGGAAAAAUCAGUCAUGAAAAUAGACCAGCUGCUGGCACAAAACCAAUAACACUUCCUCUCUUUUCACAGGGCAAAGCCUCAACAGUGCUGCAUCUCAACAGAUAGAAGUCUGAGAGCUUUCUCAGAGGACCUGUGGACACUGAGCUACUAAGGAUAAACGAGCAGGUGGAUAUGAAAUGAGUAUAGGACCCCACGGAGAACCCUGCCAGGACCUGUGGAGAGGAGCCCACACUGGAACAGGUAUUUUGGCAGGACUUGUGAUCCAGUGGAGGAUCCACACUGGAGCAGCCUGUUCCUAGGCCACUGCACCCCAUGCAAGGGACCCACACUGGAGCAGUUCACGGAGAACUACAGCCCGUGGCAAGGACUCACAC